UUGUCCCUACCCUUACUCUUCCAAGAGGCCCUUGAAACCCGAGCUUCGUUUCACCUUAUCGACAAUAUGCCAAAUCUAUUUCUUUUUUUCCAUUUUUCUUCCCUUCUUAGUUUCCCCCACUCUACUACUCUGUUCCUUUUCUUGUUUCCCCUCUUUAUUGUCACUCUUAUCUUUAAUACUUUAGGAUCUCCUUAGCUAUCACCCAGCAUGUCAUUUCGGCGACUAUCUACUUAAUUUCUCUAAUCCCUUUUUUCUUUCGAUUACCCCUCCCCUCCCAACCCCUCUCUCCCUGUCCCCUCAUCAUUUCCAGUUAAUUGUUCUAAACCAUCUCUUUCAACCAAUUGAAAAGUUUUGAAGUGUUACAGUUCUUAUUUGAUCUAUCAAGAUGUAUUCAUUGCCAUUCCUGUCAUGGGACCCUGGCAAAAACUAGUAACGCAAGAAGCCACAAGCAGUUGGCAACCGCAUUCAAGGCCUUUUCCAAUCUAUUGGUGAUGUAAAUGGAGUGAGGUAAAGGAAAGACGGUUAUUGGGAGCGAGUCCAAUAGGACUGCAGCCAAAGGAUAGUGGUGUACGGAGACACGUCCUAACUUUAAAGAUCCUAGUUAGUGAUUUGGUGAGGUUUGUAACAAUGAGAAUUUGUUAUGUUAUGGGCAUUUGAGCCUCUUAUUAUUUUGUAUGGUAUUUGAGCCUAGAGUUAUGAGAUGUUGAGAAUGUAAUUAAAUCUUAUUUAAACUUUCGCUGCUAUAAAUGAAAUGAGUUGAGUUCAGUUUUGUUCUA